rnacentral:lncRNA from 1 species
UCAAUUUGGUCUUUGGUGAUCCAAGAAGUAUCUCUGCGAACUCCUUUCAGGGCUCAGAAUUCGGAUUGUCCUGUUUGAUGCUUGUUCUUGGAACGGUAAUCUGAGCCUGUGCUUUUCCUUUGAACUUUUGUCUCCAUUCCAUUUCGGGUAUUUUCUGAAUUUUCUACAGCUUUGACUAAUGGCUUCAUGUUUUACUGCAGUGAAGUUUGGAGCGUUCAUGAGUAACUUUGGUUUUUUACGUGGCUCU